GACGAACGCUGGCGGCGUGCCUAACACAUGCAAGUCGAACGGAGAAUGGAUUUAGUUUACUAAAGAAGUUCUUAGUGGCGAACGGGUGAGUAACGCGUAGAUAACCUGCCUUCUAGAUGGGGACAACACUUGGAAACGAGUGCUAAUACCGGAUGUAGUCAUUUCGUUGCAUGAUGAGAUGACCAAAGGUGGCCUCUGAAUAUGCUAUCGCUAGAAGAUGGGUCUGCGUCUGAUUAGCUAGUUGGUGAGGUAACAGCUCACCAAGGCGACGAUCAGUAGCCGGUCUGAGAGGAUGAACGGCACACUGGGACUGAGACACGGCCCAGACUCCUACGGGAGCAGCAGUGGGGAAUCUUAGACAAUGGGCGCAAGCCUGAUCUAGCC
rnacentral:rRNA from 1 species